GACGAACGCUGGCGGCGUGCUUAACACAUGCAAGUCGAACGGAAAGGCCCCUUUGGGGGUACUCGAGUGGCGAACGGGUGCGUAACACGUGAGUAACCUGCCCUUGACUUCGGGAUAACUUCAGGAAACUGGGGCUAAUACCGGAUAGGAAUCCUUGCUGCAUGGUGGGGGUUGGAAAGCUUCGGCGGUUUUGGAUGGACUCGCGGCUUAUCAGCUUGUUGGUGGGGUAGUGGCUUACCAAGGCUUUGACGGGUAGCCGGCCUGAGAGGGCGACCGGCCACAUUGGGACUGAGAUACGGCCCAGACUCCUACGGGAGGCAGCAGUGGGGAAGAUUGCACAAUGGGCGGAAGCCUGAUGCAGAAACGCCGCGGGCGGGAGGACGGCCUUCGGGUUGUAAACCGCUUUCAGCAGGGGCGAAGCUUGUGGUGACGGUACCUGCAGAAGAAGCACCGGCUAACUACGUG
rnacentral:rRNA from 1 species